rnacentral:rRNA from 1 species
UGGGGAAUAUUGGACAAUGGGCGAAAGCCUGAUCCAGCCAUGCCGCGUGUGUGAAGAAGGUCUUCGGAUUGUAAAGCACUUUAAGUUGGGAGGAAGGGCAUUAACCUAAUACGUUAGUGUUUUGACGUUACCGACAGAAUAAGCACCGGCUAACUCUGUGCCAGAAGCCGCGGUAAUACAGAGGGUGCAAGCGUUAAUCGGAAUUACAGGGCGUAAAGCGCGCGUAGGUGGUUUGUUAAGUUGGAUGUGAAAUCCCCGGGCUCAACCUGGGAACUGCAUUCAAAACUGACUGACUAGAGUAUGGUAGAGGGUGGUGGAAUUUCCUGUGUAGCGGUGAAAUGCGUAGAUAUAGGAAGGAACACCAGUGGCGAAGGCGACCACCUGGACUAAUACUGACACUGAGGUGCGAAAGCGUGGGGAGCAAACA